rnacentral:rRNA from 1 species
GACGAACGCUGGCGGCGUGCUUAACACAUGCAAGUCGAACGGUGAAGCCCAGCUUGCUGGGUGGAUCAGUGGCGAACGGGUGAGUAACACGUGAAUAACCUGCCUCUGACUUUGGGAUAAGCCUUGGAAACGGGGUCUAAUACUGGACACGAGACGCUCGGGCAUCCGAAGUGUCUGGAAAGAUUUAUCGGUCAGAGAUGGACUCGCGGCCUAUCAGCUUGUUGGUGGGGUAAUGGCCUACCAAGGCGACGACGGGUAGCCGGCCUGAGAGGGCGACCGGCCACACUGGGACUGAGACACGGCCCAGACUCCUACGGGAGGCAGCAGUGGGGAAUAUUGCACAAUGGGCGCAAGCCUGAUGCAGCGACGCCGCGUGAGGGAUGACGGCCUUCGGGUUGUAAACCUCUUUCAGCGGGGAAGAAGCGAAAGUGACGGUACCUGCAGAAGAAGCGCCGGCUAACUACGUGCCAGCCGCCGCGGUAA